GAACUAUCUGGGAGAUUCUGAGGGCAGUACCAGAGAUCGAACUCAGGACCUUGAGGAGCAGGCAUCAGAACCACUGAGCUAAGUCCCCACCCUUGUCCUGCUUAGUUUUAAACACAUAAUUGGACAUCUCUCAGACGGCUGUCCUGGCUGGGACUCUUAGUGAGGACAGGCAGUUCGGAUCCUGAGACGGGGAGCAGGCGCGGCGCGGCCACUCUCCCACCGGAGCCCUGGUCCAGACUCGGACCGCUAGGCCACCCUGUGCCCAUGGACAGCACCAGCCUCGCACAGCACAAGUGUGUCAGGCUCCUGGCACACCUGUCACCCCCUCCCCGGUUCUCAAGUCCUGUGUGCCUGGCCGUGGGCCCAGGUCACCGUCCCUGAGCUCUGGUGACAGCUGCGCCUGACACCAGCUGACCAAGUCCCGGUCUACCGUCCCCACCAGGGCCUGGAUUCCUAGUCUCCUCUGGCAGGGCUGGCCCUGUGCCCCAGGUGGCUGAGGUCCUGAGGCCACACCUCCCACGGCAUCUCGGGCGCAGGUCUUUGUCCGGGCACAGGCGGGGGGCGGGUGCCCGUUUUCGGGACGGCAUAGGCUCUGUGGUCACCUGGCUGGCCAGGGCCGCGCGCCAAAACCACUCAGCCGAAGCCUCUCCCCGCGCCUGGGCGGAGCAGGGCCGGAGGCCUGGGCGUGGCCAGGUCACAAGCUACCUCCCCCCACCCCACCCGCGACUCCCAGCUUCCACCGGAAGGAAGUAGGGGCGAGGCUGGAGCACACCCUUCCCACUUUGCUGAUGAAGACAGGCCCAGCUGGGAACCAGCCCUCCCC
rnacentral:lncRNA from 1 species